GAUGAACGCUGGCGGCGUGCCUAAUACAUGCAAGUCGAGCGAACAGACGAGGAGCUUGCUCCUUUGACGUUAGCGGCGGACGGGUGAGUAACACGUGGGUAACCUACCUAUAAGACUGGGAUAACUUCGGGAAACCGGAGCUAAUACCGGAUAAUAUUUCGAACCGCAUGGUUCGAUAGUGAAAGAUGGCUUUGCUAUCACUUAUAGAUGGACCUGCGCCGUAUUAGCUAGUUGGUAAGGUAACGGCUUACCAAGGCAACGAUACGUAGCCGACCUGAGAGGGUGAUCGGCCACACUGGAACUGAGACACGGUCCAGACUCCUACGGGAGGCAGCAGUAGGGAAUCUUCCGCAAAGGGCGAAAGCCUGACGGAGCAACGCCGCGUGAGUGAUGAAGGUCUUCGGAUCGUAAAACUCUGUUAUUAGGGAAGAACAAACGUGUAAGUAACUGUGCACGUCUUGACGGUACCUAAUCAGAAAGCCAUGGCUAACUACGUG
rnacentral:rRNA from 1 species